UUGUUUUCAAUAGAAAAGCUUUCCAGUCCGUACCUUGUAAGGGAGAAACCCACCAAGGUAACCCAGAUGUACUAGAAAGGGUAAGUUGGCCACAUAUCCAACAAUUGGACUGAUUUUUGUGUGUGGCAAAGGAGUGAGCCCAUUGUGAAAAAAACAUUGCCAUUAGAGGCCCAUUCAGAUGUGGAUUGAAAAAACAAACAUGGUAUCAGGAAAAUCUUAAAU